CAGUCGAUACACACUACAGUGAUGCUUAAUAAUAAAAGAUACAUAUAUAAUUAGUUAAGUGCAUCGUCGUUUCUGAAUUCUCUCAACAGAACUUUCUACACUACCCAACAACAUGUUUCGGCUUCUUUUCGUACACUGUUUUGAGCUGGACUUCACUUUCUUCAUGAUAGAUGCUAGAUUGUUUAUCAUCAUCAUGCUCAUCUAGAUCUUCCUUCUUGGACAAAUCUUUAUCGCUUUGUUCUUUCUGUCUUUUGUACAAAAGACUUCUCACUUCCUGAACCUCUGCACGGACGUCGUGUCCGUUCGGCUGAUUUUAAUGUCCGGCAUCUUUCUUCAUGCCUCCUUCUGGCUUAUCAUCAUGUACUGUCGCCCCAUCUUCGACUCCGGUAUCCUCCUCGUCCUCACUAUGACUUGUCCAUCGUGCGUAACUAGGCAUGAAACUAUGUUUCAACAGGUGCAUCUUCCAACGACCAGUGGAAGGGUCAAUCAAAACUCCGUUUUCACACUUCUUACAUUGACAUAAUAUCCCUUUUUUGCCUCUGCGAUUCAUAUCUUCCGGCGCCACCUAAAAGAACUCAUUUAUAGUUCGAUCCAUAUAAAUAUAUAUGUAAGAAUCUUUUCAUACCAUUUCCUACAAAAAAGGCCUUUCAACACCACAAUAUAUAUACCUUUGCUAAAAAGUGAAAAAUGGAAAAUUGAGCAUAUAUUACCUAGAUUAGAUCGAUAUAGUCGACGAUAGAUGAUAUCACGGUCCAGGGCAGCGGACAGCCGGGUGUAUUACUUAGGAUCUGCAGAGAGAAACAAGAAGGAUAAUGUUCACA
rnacentral:lncRNA from 1 species